rnacentral:rRNA from 1 species
UACAGAGGGUGCAAGCGUUGUUCGGAAUUACUGGGCGUAAAGCGCGUGUAGGUGGCGAUGUAAGUCGGGUGUGAAAUCCCUCAGCUUAACUGAGGAAGUGCACUCGAUACUGUGUCGCUUGAGUGUUGGAGGGGAUGGCGGAAUUCCCGGUGUAGAGGUGAAAUGCGUAGAUAUCUGGAGGAACACCGGUGGCGAAGGCGGCGUCCUGGACCAACACUGACACUGAGGAGCGAAAGCCAGGGGAGCAAACGGG